rnacentral:rRNA from 1 species
GACUCCAUGAAGUCGGAAUCGCUAGUAAUCGUGAAUCAGAAUGUCACGGUGAAUACGUUCCCGGGCCUUGUACACACCGCCCGUCACACCAUGGGAGUGGGUUGCACCAGAAGUAGAUAGCUUAACCUUCGGGGGGGCGUUUACCACGGUGUGGUCCAUGACUGGGGUGAAGUCGUAACAAGGUAACCGUAGGGGAACCUGCGGUUGGAUCACCUCCUUACGAAG